rnacentral:rRNA from 1 species
UACGAAGGGGGCUAGCGUUGCUCGGAAUUACUGGGCGUAAAGCGCACGUAGGCGGCUUCUUAAGUCGGUGGUGAAAUCCUGGAGCUCAACUCCAGAACUGCCUUCGAUACUGGGAAGCUCGAGUCCGGGAGAGGUGAGUGGAACUGCGAGUGUAGAGGUGAAAUUCGUAGAUAUUCGCAAGAACACCAGUGGCGAAGGCGGCUCACUGGCCCGGUACUGACGCUGAGGUGCGAAAGCGUGGGGAGCAAACAGGGAUUAAGAAACCC